CUAUUUUUUUGGAAGAGUUUGGGAAGGAUUAGCAUUAUUUCUUCUUUGGUAAAAUUUACCAGUGAAGCCACCUGGUCCCAGCUGUUGUUCAUGGGGAGAUUUUUGCCUGGUGAUUCAGUCUUGGUAGGAUGUACGUUUCUUAUGUUUUUCUUGCUUUUAGAGCUCAGCUCCUCUGUCUGGGCAGGGACAGACCAGGCUUCCCGGACUGCUGACGGUCUUCUGUUGAGGAUCCGAGUCGGGCAGAACUGCACCAGUCUGCUGCUUCUGCACGCGAGCAGGGAUGCCUGUGAACUUGGGCAUCGCAGGUAGGAUGCCGUCCGACCUCUACAGACCAAAGUGGUACCACAAGACCUCCCUUCUUUUUUUCUUUAGUGUUUAUUUUUGAGAGAGAAUCCCAAGCAGGCUCUGCACCAAGAGCCCAACACGGGGCUCAACCUCACAAACCGUGAGAUCGUGACCCAAACUGAAAAUCAAGAGUCGGAUGCUCAAGUGACUGAACCACGCAGGCCCCCCCAAGCUCUCCUGUGACAGGUUCCAAGUGGUCGAGACCACAAUGGGGGGUCUCGUAGGUGCAGGGGAGACCCCUCAGUGUAUUGCUGGACUGUAUAUUGGGGGCAGUCAUUUUUUGAUUUCUAACACAAAUAUACCUGUUUUUAUAAUUCUACCCAACUGCAUAAAGCAGGGGCAUGAAAGGAGAAUCCGGAGCAGUCCUUUGCAGAGGUUGGUGGUUGGUGGUCCUACGAAUUCCCCAGGUGGGAUCGUUAACACAUUGAAUCAGGAUGUCUGGGUGUGGGUAAGAAUUUGCGCUCGUAACAGCCUUCUCAGCCAAACACACUUAAAUAGUGUCUUUAUUUGGGGCUUUCAUUUCUCUUAAGUUUGUGGAAAUGAAAGAAAACCACACACACAAACCUCUUAGAUGAAGACAAAGUUUUAUUCUAAAAAUAGAUCUCAGUAACAAUGAAAUACCAAAAGCUGGUCAUUAUAAGAAAAAGAAAAAAAGAGGUAAAAAAUUUGCUUUAAAUUUUCCUCCUCAAAAAUACAAAAUUCUCACUGUACUAUAUUGCGAACUCUCAUUUAUCUGUACGCAAAUUAACUUUAUCCAAAGACAUUUAAAGUCACAGAUUGGAUUCUAAUGUAUCUUCAAGUAAAUACAUUCUCUGAGAAUGCAAUGAAAUAUUUAAACAUAAUUGGGAUAUAAAUUUAUGCUCAGGGAAAUCAUGUUACCACUUCCCUCUAUUUUUGCAGAUAACCAAAAAAAGUGACUGCACCCAAGUACUGGUAUUUGAAGGUAGCAGAGAGAAAACAUUAACUACAUUAUUUGUAUCUUUAAAGGCAUAUAAUGACCUGUAGUACUUAAAAAAAGUGGUUUCACAUCUUCAAAGUGCUAGAGAAGUAUCCGGGAAGACAAAGUUCGACCUCAAGUACUGAAGGAUGCAGAAGACAAAAGGAGGAAAAGGUAAAAGGCCCCCAUCACUGUAUCCAUCAAAGUGGUUUAAAGACCAGGUAGGCAAGUUACCCAAUCAGCCCACCUCUCUGUCCUCACCACACUACCCAUGGUCACCACCUCAGUUGGCUGCACAGUGACUAGGAAGGAUUGUCCUGUAUCAAAAUUCUUGACAUUCUCUGAAGGCCAAAAGCUGGUCCCAGAAGGGCCAUCCUCUUCAGCGUAGACGCACUGUCAUCAGGACAGCUUAGCUUGUUGGCAGAAAGUGGUGGUACUUUACUUUGCGUAGUCAUUUAGUAUGACUGAAACAGCUUUUUUUCUUGUCAAAACUUGACCGUGAGUUUUGACUGCUGUAACGUAAACUCGAAAACUGAACACCCAAACAUAAGUUGACUAAUACUGGUGUCCCGACAAUACGGUGCUUUUUCUGUUAACCUAAUACAGCCUAAAGAGCCCCUCUCCAGGAGAGGAAGGGC